rnacentral:rRNA from 1 species
AUUGAACGCUGGCGGCAGGCCUAACACAUGCAAGUCGAGCGAGCGGCGGACGGGUGAGUAAUGUCUGGGAAACUGCCUGAUGGAGGGGGGAAACUAAUGGAAAAGGUAGCUAAUACCGCAUACCGUCAGAUGGGCCGCGAUGGGAUUAGCGGGUUGGGGGGGUAAGGGCUCACCUGGGCGACGAUUCCUAGCUGGUCUGAGAGGAUGACCAGCCCCACUGGAACUGGUAUCCGGCCCAACCUCCUACGGGAGGCCGGCGUGGGGAAUAUUGCACAAUGGGGGACAGCCUGAUGCAGCCAUGCCGCGUGUGUUAAGAAGGCCUUCGGGUUUUAAAGCACUUUCAGCGGGGAGGCGUUACCCGCAGAAGAAGCAACGGCUAACUCCGUGCCAGCAGCCGCGGUAAUAC